CACUGCCGCUGCGCACAUCGCAGGCAGGUGACAGAUUGACUUCAGGUCGGAUGUAAACGGCCGUACAAUAAACCUGCUCCUUUGCUCUACCGGAAUACAUCGCUGUUUGAGGAUUGUUCAUAGAAAGUGAGCAAAAAUCCAGGAUGGUGAUAAAAUGAUGACUGGACGGAGAGAGCAGUCUGUUGAAGGGAUCGUCCUCCAACGCCAGACGGUGAAAUAACAUAAACUUCCACACAACAACCGGAAAUGGCGAGUGAUCGGGUGGCCAUCCUUACGGAUGAUGAGGAGGACCAGAAAAGGAAAUAUGUUCUGUCUGAACCAUUUAACACUCUGUCCCUGGGGCAGGUGGCAAACACUACACCAUCCGGUCAAACAGCACCGCCUGCCCCCACUGACACACACCCUUCUCAGCCCUCUCAGAAUAUGGACUGCACAGAGAGGUGCUGUGUGCGAAUAGACAAUCAUCUCUUGAUUUCCAAGGUCUUCUACUUCUUCUUUUAUUCCGCAUAUGGCUCUUUACACCCCCUGCUUGCUGUGUACUACAAGCAGCUGGGAAUGACACCCAGCCAAAGUGGCCUGCUAGUUGGGAUCCGUUAUUUUAUAGAGUUCUGCAGUGCGCCUUUCUGGGGAGUAGUGGCGGACCGCUACAAGAAAGGGAAGGCGGUGUUGCUGUUUUCUGUACUCUGCUGGGUGGUCUUUAACUGCGGUAUCGGCUUUGUCAAGCCAGCAGCUAUGACCUGUGUCAGUAAGGACCCUACUGUUGCGACACCAAGCAAUUUUACAAACUAUACGCAAACUAGUAACCAUACCAGACAAAGAAGAUACUUGAUUGAGGAUGUGUACUCUGCUCCUCCGCUUUCUCAGCCAAUAUUAGCAGCAUAUGGACCUCGCACUAGAUACAUUCGAAGUGCAAAUGUGAAUACCACAAGCACUCCCUCUGGAAACUCCACAGAGAAUCCUGUCGGCAUUACUAUGCUGUCUAACUCGUCAACAGCUUCGCCCCGUACCUCGACAGUAACGUCAAAAUCUACCUCGACAAUUGAAACACAAGCUACCACUGCCAAACUCAAAGAGUAUUUCAUAGUCUUUAAUAAGGAACAAGUAGAUACGAUAUUUCUCUUGAUCCUCUUGGUCAUUAUCAUUGGUGAGUUCUUCAGCGCCCCGGCUGUGACCAUUGUGGACACCGUCACUCUUCAGUACUUGGGACAACACCGAGAUCGUUAUGGACUCCAGAGAAUGUGGGGAUCUCUGGGAUGGGGUAUCGCUAUGCUGUCAGUGGGCAUUUGGAUCGACCACACGCACAUCACUAUCUUCAUCCAGGGCUCGGGUUGUGACCUGCCCAUCUACAAGAACUACCAAAUUGCGUUCAUCGUUUUUGGAGUCCUGAUGACCUCAGCGCUGAUAGUGGCGACGCAGUUCCACUUUGACAACAGGGUUUAUCAGUCAGAUGAGGAAGAGGACAAGAAGGAGGAUGUGGAAAUACCUCAAGUCGUUCAGGAAGUCUCGUCUCCAGAGUCCAGCCCAGAUGAUGCACCCGUUUGCCCAGAAAGCAACCCGCAACCUUUUCCCUUCAAAGAUCUCUUCCGGACCAUUUGUGGCAUCCAGUAUGGUACGGUUCUCUUUGUGGCCUGGUUCAUGGGGUUUGGUUACGGUUUCGUUUUCACCUUCCUCUAUUGGCAUCUGGAGGACCUGAAGGGCACCACCACUCUCUUUGGCAUCUGCUCGGUGCUCAGUCACGUGUCUGAGCUGGCCGCUUAUUUCAUCAGCCACAAACUCAUUGAGCUUGUUGGACACAUCAGAGUCCUUUAUAUCGGACUGGCCUGUAACACCGCACGCUAUCUGUACAUCUCCUACCUAGAGAAUGCAUGGAUAGUUUUACCCAUGGAAGUACUUCAAGGUUUGACACAUGCAGCAGUGUGGGCGGCAUGCAUCUCGUAUUUGAGCGCUGCUGUUCCUCCAGCUCUGCGCACGUCGGCUCAGGGGAUCCUGCAGGGGCUGCACCUGGGGCUGGGGAGAGGCUGUGGAGCCAUGCUAGGAGGGGUUUUUGUGAACUACUUCGGUGCUGCAGAAACCUUCAGAGGCCUCGGAAUGGCCUCUCUGGUCACAUUACUCAUCUUCUCUCUGAUACAGUGGCUGUUUGGUCAGAACGAGGAUAAAAAGGGCUCGAUGUUGGCUGAGAACAUCCCAGUUCCCUCCAGUCCAGUGCCUAUCGCCACUAUUGACUUAGUCCAGAACCAAUCCGCAUCUCAGCCAAACCCCGAAUCAAAGACGCCUCCUAAGAAAACCAGGAAUCAGGAAGAGCAAGAAGAUACCAACAAGCCGGCCUGGGUGGUCUCUGCUUCCCCCUGGGUCACCAUCGCUUUCGCCCUCUAUCAGAUCAGAGAUAGGGUCGCUUUGUCAAAGAACGACCCCUGUGGUGAAAGUCAAGCCCCGCAGGAGACAAAUGAGCAAACCUCAGCGAUGCCACCUGCUGAUGAAUCCACAUCUUCGCAACCCGAUACAUUAAGUCCAGCAGAAUAUCUCUCCCAAGGACCUACUACCAGUGCAUUCAUUCCUCUAAACACACAUCCUGUCCGUCCUGUGGAAAAACCGUCUCCAUCCGCAGGGAGAAACGAACCAGUAGAGAACUCCGCACCAUUGCCAGGGCACUCCAAACAGCAGCCUCCGAAAGCACAACCACAAUCCAAGAUCAACUGAACCUCUUUGGGAUAUAGCCUUAUGAUUUAGAGACAUGUUACGGGGUGUGAAAGGUGACAGCUGACUUUGGACCAAAAAAAUAUUAUGUUGACCUACAGGUAUUCUACUUUAGCGAGGGAUUUGUUUUCCGAGGCGAUAAAAUCAAUAUGCUUUGCACUGCCACAGUUGAUGUCUUGCCUUAGUCACAAAGGGCCUGCGAGUCUCUGUACAGAAUGCUUGAAGGUCAGUGUCUAUGAGGAGAUCUGCACAUUACUGAGCGUUUAAUGCUUAUAAUCCAACAGCUGAGGUGCUUCAGUGUAAUAUACAUGGGACUUGACAUUGCAAUAGAGAAGCAUAGUUGCUUUGCACUCUGUAUGUUAUUUUGCUAAUCGUGCUUCCAUAUUUCUUGUGACCAAAUUUAAAUAUAAAAGCAUCUACUCUGUAUAUAAUAUGUAAAAGCCAUGCUCUGUUCUGUUAAAUAUACGCAGUUAUGCAUAAAACCAAGAGUAUAGUAGCUAUUACAAACCAUCAAAAGGUAUUGAUUUGCACUAUAUGGUGUCUGAAACCAUCUGCCUCGCGGCUUUGUGUAUAAGUGACCUCUGCUUAUGUUUACAUAUGAUGAAACAAUACAAUAUUCUGGUUGAGAAUUUAGCCAUUUGUCUUUUUUAAUUAAAUUAGAUGGCAAUAUAAAAGACUGUAAAAACUUAAAAUGUUUAUAAUAACAUACAUUCUUCAGAUAAAAGUUCAAUAAAAAGGAAAUAAUUGAAAUGGCAGCAUGUAGAUAUGUAAACCCGCAUGAGUUGAUGCACCAUCCACUCAGAUAUCGGCCCUCCAAGACUAGGAUUGGACAUCCCUGCACUAAAGGUCAUGGUGAUUGAAAGUAAUAAUAUAUAUAUAUAUAUAUAUAUAUCAGAUGGGAGGAAAAAAUAUUUUAGUGCUUUUGUGCUCCCAAAGAACCUUUGCAUUCUCCCAAAAACAAAGUUUCUGGGGGGGAAUACAAACAUUUUGCCAAUGAAAAAGGUUCUAGGGAGAACGCCAAAAUUGUGCGUAAAAGCAGAAGCUUUUUAAUCACAAUGUCCCUUGAGGUUUCCUAUAAUUUUAUCAUUUGUGAGCUCCAAAAACGACAAAAAAAGGACCAUAAACCUAGUCAUGUUGCCCUAUUUUCCAUGUCUUCUAAAGCCACAAGGGGCAGUGGAAUGAAAAAACUAAAUUAAAAGCGGUCAAACGCGUCAGUCUACCGCAUGUUUAUAUAGAAAAGCAAAGGAAAACCAGCGCAAAAGCUCAUUCUGCGAGAUCUGAAG